ACCGUGAAACUGCGAAUGGCUCAUUAAAUCAGUUAUCGUUUAUUUGAUAGUACCUACCCACUACUUGGAUAUCCGUGGUAAUUCUAGAGCUAAUACAUGCUAAAAGCCCCGACUUCGGGAGGGGUGUAUUUAUUAGAUAAAAAACCAAUGCCCCUCGGGGCUCCUUGGUGAAUCAUGAUAACUUUACGGAUCGCAUGGCCUUGCGCCGGCGACGGUUCAUUCAAAUUUCUGCCCUAUCAACUUUCGAUGGUAAGGUAUUGGCUUACCAUGGUUUCAACGGGUAACGGGGAAUUAGGGUUCGAUUCCGGAGAGGGAGCCUGAGAAACGGCUACCACAUCCAAGGAAGGCAGCAGGCGCGCAAAUUACCCAAUGCUAAUUCAAGCGAGGUAGUGACAAGAAAUACUGAUACAGGGCUCUUUUGGGUCUUGUAAUCGGAAUGAGUACAAUUUAAAUACCUUAACGAGGAACAAUUGGAGGGCAAGUCUGGUGCCAGCAGCCGCGGUAAUUCCAGCUCCAAUAGCGUAUAUUAAAGUUGUUGCAGUUAAAAAGCUCGUAGUUGAACCUUGGGCCUGGCUGGCCGGUCCGCCUCACCGCGUGUACUGGUCCGGCCGGGCCUUUCCUUCUGGAGAGCCGCAUGCCCUUCACUGGGUGUGUCGGGGAACCAGGACUUUUACUUUGAAAAAAUUAGAGUGUUCAAAGCAGGCCUUUGCUCGAAUACGUUAGCAUGGAAUAAUAGAAUAGGACGUGCGGUCCUAUUUUGUUGGU
rnacentral:rRNA from 1 species